AACCUCGAGAAUGGCAUGGAAUGUGUGUGUUGAGUUGAUCUCAAUAUCUGGGGGCCAGGAUACCCCAACGGACAGCUGGUUUACAUUAUUGUUUUUGUUAUUAUUAUUUUAAUAACUCCCCUGGACCCACCGUGGGCUCAGCCCAUGCUGUCUAUCCAUCUGGAAUGCCCCUCUCCCUAACUAAGUCCUACCCAUCCUCCUCGGGGCUCACCUCCUCUGUGCUGUCUUCCCAGCCACCCGAGGCCUCACCGACCUCCCACAGCUCCAAGAGCUCCUAACUGUCAUCUUCCUCAUAUUAUUCUGUGCCAUGUGACUCUCACAUUCCCAGCUAGAUCCCGUGGCAGGCGCCGUGCCUACGUGUCCUUGGUUGUGCCCUCACGCUACCUAGGACGAUGUUCAGCCCCAGCGGUGCUUGCUCAGUGCCUGCUGACUCAUUAACAUGGGCUGAGACAUAGAAAUAAUCUUUAAAACCUGAAGUGGGCAAGACAAUAGGCUUUGUGAAAAUCAGAUGCUAUCUGAAUGAAUGAUGAGAAACAAAGUUUGGCAAAACCAGCAUAGUAGGAUUAUUCCAUCAUUCUGCACCUAAAAGAAUGAGAAGGAGAGAGAAAAAUGAAAGUCCCGGUGACAUCAGCUUUGGCAGUCCCUAAUGGAAAGUGACCCUGCCAGAGCCCCGCUCCCCCAUUCCAUCCGGGAAUGCUUUCCAUUAACGCUGUUAACCCGGCACAGCGGUCAGGGGCAGAGCCGGCUGGGCCAAAUGUGCUCGUUUCCAACUGCUGAAUCAUCUCCAUCUCCUUUGCCCUUCCUAAUACCUUCAAGAACUAGAAGCAAAGGAUGGGGAGAGAAGCACCAAAGACUAUCAACUUUAGCAAAUCCUUAAUAGGAAGCUGUUUGGCUGGUUCCUUCCAUCCCUGGGAACUCUUUCCAUUAAAAACAUUUCUCUGCUACAACCGAGUUUUAGACUUCCCAUUGCAUCCUCAGCCCGAAGGAAAAUUCUCAACUCUCCGCCCCCAACCACAUACCCUGAGCAAUUUCCUUCAAAGGGCGGAAAAUCUCUCUUUUCAGUGUGCAGCUUGACUGCUUGACAUCCACCAAGAAACCCAGUAACAUCCUGACCUUCUAAAGCAGACUGGAAGAUCAGAGAAGGCUUUCCUGGCUGCCCCCUGGACUCAGCAUGAUCAAAAGUUGCAAAGAGACCCCAGCACUGAAGAUGGAAGAAAACACUGAGGAGGAAAUGAAAGUCAGACAUAACCAAGAAGGAGGCUGAUAUGAACACGUUGAAGACCUGUGGGACCUUCAAGUGGUAAUACGCAAUUGGUAGUUGGACAUGAGUAUGGAGUUCAAGAGAGAGAUCUGGGAUGAAGACAUAGAUCCGAGACUCAUCAGCCCAAAGGAGCUCUAUUUGAAACCAUGGAAGUGAUGAGACCACCCAGGGAGAGCAAAGAGUAGGAAGAGAAGAUGGUCAAUGAUCUAAGGUCAGGCAGAGGAAGAAUGAGCAGUCAAAAAGGGAGAUCAGGCUAAACACCCCAAGAGGAGAGGAACCAAGAGAGUAAGCUGUCCCAGAAGUCCAGGAAGUGAGUGCUUCAAAGGAGAGAGUGGUUCACGGUGACAGGUGCUUUAUUGAGGUCAAAGGAGACGUGGCUAUGGACUUGACAAGAUGAAGGCCAUUAGCAACUUUGGCAAGAGUGGUUUCAAUAGAGUGAGAGGAGUGAAAAAGCCUGAUGGAUGUGGGCAAGAAGUGGAAGACAAGCAAGUGGAGAGAGCAGAUGGGGACCUCUCUUUCAAGAUGAAGAUUGACAUUCUCAGAGGGAUAAGGCAGUAACAGCAGAGAAGCAGGAUGCAGAAGUUUGUUUUUUCACAUAAGAAAGAUUCGAGAAUACUUUAAUGCUGCCGAAGAGGA
rnacentral:lncRNA from 1 species